rnacentral:rRNA from 1 species
AACGCGAAGAACCUUACCUGGGCUUGAACUGCACUUGACAAAGGUAGAAAUAUCUCUCCCGCAAGGGCAAGUGUAGAGGUGCUGCAUGGCUGUCGUCAGCUCGUGCCGUGAGGUGUUGGGUUAAGUCCCGCAACGAGCGCAACCCUUGCCGUGUGUUGGUCGCAAGAUCUCUCACGCGGGACCGCCGGUGACAAGCCGGAGGAAGGUGGGGAUGACGUCAAGUCAGCAUGGCCCUUACGUCCCGGGCUACACACGUGCUACAAUGGAAUGGACAACGAGUCGCGAACCCGCGAGGGUAAGCUAAUCUCAUAAACCAUUUCUCAGUUCGGAUUGAAGGCUGCAACUCGCCUUCAUGAAGUCGGAAUCGCUAGUAACCGUAGAUCAGCUACGCUGCGGUGAAUACGUUCCCGGGCCUUGUACACACCGCUCGCGA